rnacentral:rRNA from 1 species
UACGUAGGGUGCAAGCGUUGUCCGGAAUUAUUGGGCGUAAAGAGCUCGUAGGCGGUCUGUCGCGUCUGCUGUGAAAACUCAGGGCUUAACCCUGAGCUUGCAGUGGGUACGGGCAGACUAGAGUGCGGUAGGGGAGACUGGAAUUCCUGGUAUAGCGGUGAAAUGCGCAGAUAUCAGGAGGAACACCGGUGGCGAAGGCGGGUCUCUGGGCCGUAACUGACGCUGAGGAGCGAAAGCAUGGGGAGCGAACAGG